GGGGUGGGUCGUGUUGGAGGGUCUGAAAUACUAGAAUCAAGUUGGAGAAAGAAACUCUAACGCAUACCUCCCAACGGGUGGUCUUCAGGUUGUCGGCGGCCGGCCUCCCGGCAACCACCAUACCGGCGCCGGAAUCCCAACCGCCGACAUACCGACAUCUUUUCUCCCUCUUGGGGGUCCACGACCCUCCUGGAGGGAGAAUAGAUAGCAUGGCGCGCCACCGUGCCCGCAAAGGGGUUCAUUUGCGCUCGCUCAGCUGUCGGUAUGCCGGCGGUCGGUAUGCCGGCGCCGGUAUGCUGGUCGCCGGCACCCCGACCGCCGGCAAAUCAUGCUACACCCCUCCCAACAUGAUCCUCUCCAAGAGGGGCACCAUGCUCUGCUUCUGGACUUUUCUCUUAAUGUAUGAUUGCUGGCACCUAAGUUGAACUAGUUAAUGGAUAAGAAAGGUGUUUCAGCACAGGUGAUGGCUAUCAAUUAAAAGGGAAGUCCAGGAGCAGAGCAUUUUCUCCCUCCUGGAGAGGGUCAUGUUGGGAGAUAUGCUAACGUCAGGAGGGGGAACCACGACAACAGGGGGAGGAGCUAGCCCAGCGGGAUAGCAUGUCUACUAUCCACGCCACCAACUACUCCCUUUAGGAACCCGGUGGCGAGCGAAGCUGAGCGAGCCACCGAACCCGAAGCGUGACGAGCAAGCAUUUUGGGUACCCUGUUCGUGCAUGGCUCCUCCCCUCGUGAUGUGGCUCCUCCCACUGGUGACUUUAGAUGUCCCUUCUCCAACUUGGUUUUCGAACUAACCAUGGACCCAAGUGGCCUCCUGGGGUAUGAACGGGCAGCAGAGGACCCUGUUCCAGACAAGGGGUGGUGGUGUGGUCCCUGAGCCUAGGAGAGCAAAGGAGGACUGCAAGAAAAGGGAGAGGUUACAGGUGCCAGGACCCCCGAGUCCCCCUUCCCCCUCAGCCCCCACCCCAACCCCCAGUCCUGCACCCAGAAGCCCCCCAGCAUGUGGUGUAGUAGGAUGAUGAUGUCAUGCUCGUGGCUGUCUAUGAGGCUAGGAGAACCUUCCAUCUGUCUGUUACCCUGAUAGUCACCAUACCCAAGGCCUGCCUGUGCCCCCGGGCAGCUGCAGUGACCUUCCCUGCCUGCCCUCCCCCUGAGGCCACUCAUGACCAGAAUUUACCAGGCUUUGAUCUGUCUGCUGGCAACAUAUGGAUUUACCCCACCAACUACCCAGUGCGGGGGUACCAGCUCAGCAUGCCCUGUGGCACAACACUUUGGUCUGUCUGCCCAUGGACUAGGGCAAGACGUUUAUCGCUGCUGUGGUUAUGUAUAACUUAGUGGUGACCAUCUGGAAGAGUUGUCUUUAUGGCCCCUACCAAGCCACUGGUGGCACAGCAGAUAGAAUCCUGUUUUCGGGUCAUGGGGAUCCCUCAAAGUCACAUGAUGGAGCUACAGAUGCUACAGACGAGUCAUUGAUUGGGAAACUCUUCAAAAAGGAUGAUCCAGAGACAGCCGAUGAUGCGGAGGAAGAUUAUUAUUUUUCAGAUGCCUUUUUUUUAUUUUAUUUUUAAAUAAACCCUGUAAAUACAAAUUAUA